UUAUAAAAUUAAAAAAUAUAUUAAAAAUGAGCAAUACCAACGGAAAUCCUCAACGCAUAAAUUAUACUGAGAGAGAGAAAUGUUUGCUGUUGGAAAUAUGUAAUUGGAAAAUACAACCAUAUUAUAAUUGAAAACAAAUAAUGUACCAAUGCUAUGUCCACCAACCAAAACAAUGAAACCUGGGAAAAAAUAGCACUGGAAUUUAAUGCCAGCGCUGAAUUUCCCAGAACUCCCAAGUAGCUGAACACUGAAAAGUAGAAGAGGAAAAUAUUCAAAAAUAUAAUGAGCAGAAGGUUUUGGACCAUUUGAAGAGAGACCAAACUGCGGACAAAAAAGACAUACUUGCACAGAUGUAGGGGCACAAAUGUUGAGUUUGAUUGGCAUGGCAAUCAAAUCCAACCUUUACCCAACAGUUGUGACAGUGCAUCUGGUUUCUUCACAUCUGUUGCACAAGAUAGUCAAGUGGAAGUAGAUUACCUACAAUUGGAAGACACAUAGCAGACGUCCAAUGUACCCUCUACUUCCACUGUGCUGCUCAGUACACCCACGACAACUGCUGUCCUGCCCAAGAAGACAGCCAAGAUGUCUCAGGCUCGUUCAAAAAAUAAAAAAUUAAAAGAUGUAGGGAGCGAAACCCUUAAUGUAUCUUUUACAAAAAAAAAUUGAAACAGCAAGACUAGAGAAAAGAAGUAAGAUAGUAUUUUUUUCAACAAGAAAAAGAGAAAUUUUAGAAGUAGAGCUUCAAAUAAAAAAAUUCGAACUCAAUAAAUUAUUAGGUAAUAGUGGUUAGGUAUGUCCCUACUAAAGUAAUUUUAAAUAAAAAUUGUAAUUUCUUUAAAUAAUAAAAUUAAUAAAAAAUGUA